rnacentral:rRNA from 1 species
CGAACGGGUGAGUAUCACGUGAGGAACCUGCCCCGAAGACCGGGAUAACCCUCCGAAAGGAGAGCUAAUACCGGAUACCCCCACUGAAUCGCAUGGUUUGGUGAGGAAAUGGAUUCCGCUUCGGGAGGGCCUCGCGGCCUAUCAGCUUGUUGGUGGGGUAACGGCCCACCAAGGCAUCGACGGGUAGCUGGUCUGAGAGGACGAUCAGCCACACUGGGACUGAGACACGGCCCAG